rnacentral:rRNA from 1 species
GACGAACGCUGGCGGCGUGCUUAACACAUGCAAGUCGAACGGAAAGGCCUGCUUUCCCUUGUGGAUUGCGGGUACUCGAGUGGCGAACGGGUGAGUAACACGUGAGUGAUCUGCCCCCAACUUGGGUAUAAGCCUGGGAAACUGGGUCUAAUUCCCGAUAGGACUGCAGGGUGGUGCCUGUGGUGGAAAACGAUUUUCUAGUGGUUGGGGAUGAGCUCGCGGCCUAUCAGCUUGUUGGUGGGGUAAUGGCCUACCAAGGCGGCGACGGGUAGCCGGCCUGAGAGCGUGGACGGUCACAUUGGGACUGGGAUCCGGCCCAGACUGCUACGGGAGGCAGCAGUGGGGAAUAAUGCACCAUGGGCGGAAGCCUGAUGCAGCGACGCAGCGUGGGGGAUGACGGCAUUCUGGUUGUAAACUCCUUUCGACCGCGAGGAAGCCACCUGGUUGGAAGGGUGGUGACGGUAGUGGUAGAAGAAGCACCGGCUAACUACGUG